AUCGUGGAUAAAUAUUUUUAACGUAUGAUGCUAUAAUUCGUUUAAUUCGAGUUCUGUGUAGAAAUAUUAUUUCCACACGCGAGUGAACGCAUACAUCGUUGACAAAAGGUGACAAAGAUUAAUACGAGGCAUGAUUAAAUGAAACCUCGUACAUUGUUCCAACGCGAGUGUAUUAUCCGUUCUUCGAGAAUAAAUUUUCUUUUCCCUUGAUAAGGACACGCGGUUCGUAAUAUCCGUAAAUACGGAUUCGAACGAAUAUGCGAAUUAAAUCCGCAGUGAAAGAAAUAAAACCGUGGAAAUCCUGUUAAAGUGGAAAUUGGUCAGCUAUUGUAUUGCAACUUCAAGGAUCGUACGAGACGAUUUGUUUAUUUAUUGCUUUAUCGAUUUCGAUUUCGAAAAGUUCCCUAGACUCGAAGAAAUGUUUAGGGGAGGAUAAAUAAUUCCCUAGAAUAAUCGAAACGUUCCUAAUUCAUUCUCCUUCAGGGGUAUCGAAUAUUUUCAACUUGAUUUAGUCUACAAAAAAAUUGUGGAAGAGAAUUGCAACGAAGCUUCGAGCUUCUAAGGAAGAAUGGAAUUCGAAUAAUGGAGAAAAAGGGCAAAGACUCCAAGAGGAGGGGAGGAAAUUUUAAUGAUGUAAAAGGAUGAGAAAAAUACCAGGAAGAAAGAAUUGCAUGGAUUAAGUAGUAGCGAAGAGUUAAUCCAGUUAAUGAAAAAGAAAAGUGUAGGAAGGAUCGAUCGAAAGAUGUUGCAUCGUCAAAACAGAGUAACAAGAAGGAGGAACAAAAAAACUAGUUGCGAAAGAGAAAAGAAAUAAACAUUGUUAUCCUCCGACGGAGAAAAAAAGAACAAUUCAAUGAUUCAACGGGAGAUGAACGAGAAAAACAUUCGUAACAAUAACAAAGUAGAAUAAAAUAUCAAAAAAAUCAUGAAACGAGACAUUGAAAGAGAAUUGUGACAAUGAAACAAAAAUGGAAAUGAGAAGUAGCAAGAUGUAGAGGGACAUGAAGAGAGCGUUGCUGAUAUGAAAAUAUGAAAAAUUCAAUAUAGAAAACAUGGGAAGAAUAAAAUAAAAUGAGCAUUGGAAGAAGAGGAGGAAGAGAAAAGGGAGACGUAAGAAGUGAUUGCGAUAAAAAACGGAAUAAAACAAUGCGAUGAAAAGGGCCUCCACGAAUUUGUAUGUACUAGGAAAAGAGGAACCCGUUUAAAUUCUAAGGGUGAAGCUCGGCAAACGAGGGGCGGAAGAAACUGGGGCGCUAUGAAUUUCAAGGCGAUGAAAAAUGAAUGAUCCCCCUCCUUGCGGGGGAGGUUUUGG